GUACUUUCAUCGCGGAAUUAAUAUAAAAAAAAAAAAGAUCAAGUGUAGUAUCUGUUCUUCUCAGUUUAAAUACCUGGGACGGAAACGAUUCGUUUCCUCUAUGUAUUAAUCGGAUUUUUGAACUUGGAGUAUGGUGCUGGAGCUUGCUCCACCCUGCUCACGGGUUGUCCUGGUAUUGCAGUACCUCCAGGUUCGGCUCACGUUUC
rnacentral:snRNA from 1 species